AAGACCCAGUCAGGCUGGGUUUGGAAGUAUCUUGUUAAUGCCUUCCUCUCCAUCCUUCACCCGCAGUUGCCUCAUUCCAAGUGAUCAACUAGGAUUUUAAUUCCUGAUAUAGUCAAGGCUUUUAAAAAUGACCACGCCAUAGAAAAGUAACUAAGAUACUCUUGUCCUGAGUUCCCGAGAAGCACAGGAUGACCAAGGGAUGCUGGUCUAACAUAAUCAGGUCUCAUGAAAAAGAUGGAGAGAAAUUUCUGGCAUCUUCUCCCUGCUUCUUCUCACCUGCUCUUACAAAGUAUCCUUAGUGGCCUUGUAAAAGAAGUCCUCGAGGUCCCCUUUGCCAUGGGAGAACACCACAAGAAGUCAGCCACCUAUGACCCCAGAUACUGCACCUCACCCCAUUUCAAGUCUGCAGUCCCUUCAACUUUGACUCCCAGUCUCAAGAGCUGUGAGACUAACUUGUGUAGAAGUCAUCUUGUCUGGGAUUCAUGUUAUAUGACAUCUCAGAUGGAUUAAAAGCUUUCCUAGCUCCGAGGCUACA